GUACUUGCUUCGGCAGCACACGCACUAAAAUUGGAAUGAUACAGAGAUUCUCAUGGCCUCUGCACAAGGAUGACAGGCAAAUUCACGAAUUCUGCAUGUUCCAUAUUUUU
ensembl:snRNA U6 U6 spliceosomal RNA